UUGCUCACUAUGCUCAGCCCGCCUCUUUCUCCUCUAUUUUCUGAUUUUCUCCCUCCUCUCUCUGUCUCUCAUCUCAGAUCUAGCUCCCUCCUCUCUCUUAGAUCGCUCCUCGGUCCUCAAAACUCCUCUCAAUCAAUCCUAUUUUCAAUCAAUCCUCUUCUCCCUCCUCUCUCUAAGAUCGCUCGUCAAAUAAUAAUUUAGGGUUUCGAUUUCUUGAAGAUCUUCGCACUCUCACUUCAAUUUAGGGCGAAUCUGGGUUCGUUGGAACCCAUGUAUCCAUGGCACUGCGGCAGCGAAAUCCAACGACGACAAAGAUGUAAUUGUUGUUUGCAAGAUUUCAAAGAAUCGGAGCGUUUCUAUGAGGAGUUGACAGGGGAAAGUUAUGGUUGAUAUUCGCGAGUUCUACGUUAAGGAUGGCAAGCAAAUGCCUGGCCGCAAAGCUUGUUUGCAGGAGAUCAAUGGAUUCAUAUUUACCAGGAUAUUGGAUUUGACAUCAUACCUAAGCAGUCCACUCCUUCACUUACUUGGUAACAGGGGCGGAUCUAGGGGGGUUCAAGGGGGUUCAUUGAACCCACAGAUUUUUUGGAAAAAAAUUAUAAGUUUUAAUUUUUUUUUUUUAAAAAAAAAGAAAAAGGGUUAAUACAAAUUUCUGUGAGAAUAAUAAUCACAUGGGUAAGUUUGGUGCAUUGGUAAGGCUUUGAAUAAUAGAGCAGCGCGCCCUUUUAUAAUGUCUUAGGUCUUAGGUUCGACUCCUAUUGCCCUCUUUUUUUGUACUUUUUUUUUUUUUGUUCUUUUACUCCUUACAUUCAAAUUUCAGAUUUCAGAAAUCAAACAUCGACAUUUCUUAUUUUCCCCAAAUUCCCAAACACCAAAACCCUAACCUUGACACCCUAUGACCCUAGCCAGUAGCCACUAGCCGCCGCGGCACCGCACACCGAGACACCAACCGGCGACCGGGAGCACUGACGACCUCACGGAGUGACGGAGACACGGACGAGGGACGACUGUUCUGAAUUCAGACUUCAGAGUUCUUCUACAAUUAUUUCAGAAAUCAAACAUCGACAUUUCUUAUUUUCCCCAAAUUCCCAAACACCAAAACCCUAACCUUGGCACCCUAUGACCCUAGCCAGUAGCCACUAGCCGCCGCGGCACCGCACACCGAGACACCAACCGGCGACCGGGAGCACUGACGACCUCACGGAGUGACGGAGACACGGACGAGGGACGACUGUUCUGAAUUCAGACUUCAGAGUUCUUCUACAAUUGUGAGUCCUCUUAAUCUCUUAUUCCUCUACUCCUAUUAAUUCUUAAUCUUGGUUUGCUUGUUUUAUUUUUUAAAUUGGUUUAUGGUUUUGAUAUAUUGUUGAAUUCUUGAAUUGUUGAGAAAUUGAAUUGUAGAAACUUAGAAGUUAGAAUUAAAAAAAAUUUACUUGUUUUUUUUUUUUUGAAAUAAAAUUUUUACUUGUUCUGUUAAUUGAAAUUUGAUAAUUAGAAGAAGUUUAUCCUGGAUACGCCACUGCUUGAGGAUUUGUACUGCGGAAUCUUUAAUGGACAUUUGGAAAGCUGUGUGGCUCUUUGCUUAGUAGAGUAUUCAAGCUCUGCAAGUUUUCAUGAGCGAAGAUCCACUUUUGGAGAAUGCUCGUCAUCUUCCAAACAUAAUGUUGCCACAUAUAGAGGAUUACAGAGAAGAGCUCUAAAUGUCAAAGAGCCUUCGUGUGUAAAUACAAAUGCAGAAACAGAUACGGAAAAGGGACAAACUCAUGGAGGAAUGCCCCUUGUUUUUGGAGGCUAUUCCAACUCGUGUAUGGGUCUGCAAGUGUCAAACUCAAGUGAAUAACAACAAAUUGAAGGGGUUGUAGAAGGAGAAUUCUUCGUGACUUAGGCAGUGGCGGCGGCUGCUGCUGCUUUUCUACAAGUUGCUGCUGGAUACUAUUGCUGUGACUUUGAUGCUGCUGCUACUGGAUACUCCUAUAUUUUAAUUUUCUAUCUAACAUAAUUAUAGAUUGUAAUUAUACAGUAUAUAGUGUAUUAUAAACACAAAUAAUAUAAAAUUUGUAACAUUUAUGUAUAUGAAUUAGUUAUAGGUUAAGGCUGAAGCUUAUAGUCAGUAGUCCUAAUACUCCUUUGUCCUUCUCUCCUAGUGAGUCUGAUUCUAAGUCUGUUAUUGAUCUCGAUUUUAAGAAGAAAAAACCUCCCUUGAAUUUGGUAUGUUUUA